CUUGAUUUCUCCUCCUCCUUCUUCCUUCCUUCCAUGGAUGGAUCUUGGUUUCAUGAGAGUCAAAAUCUCCCCUCCCUCUUCACUAUGUGGCUGCCGAACAUGCCUCUCUUCUCUCUCUUUCUCUCUUUCGUAAGUUUAUUUGGCUAGGAAAUAAAAGAGAUGCAAGAAAGAAAAAUUAUAUAUAUAUAAGCUAGACUUUUAUUAGGUGUGGAUUAUAUCAUUAUCCAAAC
rnacentral:lncRNA from 1 species